GGAGCUUGCUUUAUAUAACUUAGCAGCGAACGGGUGAGUAACACGUAGAUAAUCUAUCCUAUACUGGGGGAUAGCCCGAUGAAAGUUGGAUUAAUACCGCAUAUAGCUAUAUAGUUGCAUGAUUAUGUAGUGAAAGAUUUAUUGGUAUAGGAGGAGUCUGCGGCACAUUAGCUAGUAGGUGAGGUAAAGGCUUACCUAGGCGACGAUGUGUAGCCGGUCUGAGAGGAUGAACGGCCACAAUGGAACUGAGACACGGUCCAUACUCCUACGGGAGGCAGCAGUGGGGAAUAUUGCACAAUGGGGGAAACCCUGAUGCAGCAACGCCGCGUGAGUGAAGAAGGUUUUCGGAUUGUAAAGCUCUGUUAGCAGGGAAGAGGAAGGACGGUACCUGCAGAGGAAGCCACGGCUAACUACGUGCCAGCAGCCGCGGUAAUACGUAGGUGGCAAGCGUUGUUCGGAAUAACUGGGCGUAAAGGAUGCGUAGGCGGUUAAACAAGUUAUAUGUUAAAUAUAUAGGCUUAACCUGUAGAAAGCAUAUAAAACUGUUUAACUAGAGUGCAGGAGAGGUAAGUGGAAUUCCUAGUGUAGCGGUGAAAUGCGUAGAGAUUAGGAAGAACACCAGUGGCGAAGGCGACUUACUGGACUGUAACUGACGCUGAGGCAUGAGAGCAUGGGGAGCAAACAGGAUUAGAUACCCUGGUAGUCCAUGCUGUAAACGAUGGGUACUAGGUGUGGGUUGUGAAUAACAAU
rnacentral:rRNA from 1 species